rnacentral:rRNA from 1 species
CGGGUGAGUAUGUCUGGGAACUGCCUGAUGGAGGGGGAUAACUACUGGAAACGGUAGCUAAUACCGCAUAACGUCUUCGGACCAAAGUGGGGGACCUUCGGGCCUCAUGCCAUCAGAUGUGCCCAGAUGGGAUUAGCUAGUAGGUGGGGCAACGGCUCA